CUACGGGUUGCUGCAGUGGGGAAUAUUGGACAAUGGGGGAAACCCUGAUCCAGCAAUGCCGCGUGUGUGAAGAAGGCCUGCGGGUUGUAAAGCACUUUCGGUUGGGAGGACUGCUUCUAGCACUAAUAUUGUUGGAAGUUGACGUUACCUUCAGAAGAAGCACCGGCUAACUCCGUGCCAGCAGCCGCGGUAAUACGGAGGGCGCAAGCGUUAAUCGGAAUUACUGGGCGUAAAGCGCGCGUAGGCGGCUAGAUCAGUCAGGUGUGAAAGCCCCGGGCUUAACCUGGGAACUGCAUCCGAUACUGUCUAGCUUGAGUACAGGAGAGGAGAGUGGAAUUCCACAUGUAGCGGUGAAAUGCGUAGAUAUGUGGAGGAACACCAAUGGCGAAGGCAGCUCUCUGGCCUGAUACUGACGCUGAGGUGCGAAAGCGUGGGGAGCAAACAGGAUUAGAUACCCUCGUAGUC
rnacentral:rRNA from 1 species